UACGAAGGGUGCAAGCGUUACUCGGAAUUACUGGGCGUAAAGCGUGCGUAGGUGGUUUGUUAAGUCUGUUGUGAAAGCCCCGGGCUCAACCUGGGAAUGGCAAUGGAUACUGGCAAGCUAGAGUGCGGUAGAGGGUAGUGGAAUUCCCGGUGUAGCGGUGAAAUGCGUAGAGAUCGGGAGGAACACCAGUGGCGAAGGCAGCACUCUGGGACGGUACUGACGCUGAGACGCGAAAGCGUGGGGAGCGAACAGG
rnacentral:rRNA from 1 species